GACGAACGCUGGCGGCGUGCCUAAUACAUGCAAGUAGAACGCUGAAGGAGGAGCUUGCUUCUCUGGAUGAGUUGCGAACGGGUGAGUAACGCGUAGGUAACCUGCCUGGUAGCGGGGGAUAACUAUUGGAAACGAUAGCUAAUACCGCAUAAGAGUAGAUGUUGCAUGACAUUUGCUUAAAAGGUGCAAUUGCAUCACUACCAGAUGGACCUGCGUUGUAUUAGCUAGUUGGUGAGGUAACGGCUCACCAAGGCGACGAUACAUAGCCGACCUGAGAGGGUGCUCGGCCACACUGGGACUGAGACACGGCCCAGACUCCUACGGGAGGCAGCAGUAGGGAAUCUUCGGCAAUGGACGGAAGUCUGACCGAGCAACGCCGCGUGAGUGAAGAAGGUUUUCGGAUCGUAAAGCUCUGUUGUAAGAGAAGAACGAGUGUGAGAGUGGAAAGUUCACACUGUGACGGUAUCUUACCAGAAAGGGACGGCUAACUACGUG
rnacentral:rRNA from 1 species